GUCACGUGAAGAAGCUGAUGGCUUCAGGUCAACCUGCAACUAGUUGUCAAUCGCCUAAAACUCCUGGAAAAAAGGAAAACCGAGCAGGCUCAGAAAGCAAGGAAAGAGAUUG